GUUUAAUAGGUGAAUUAUAAGAGGACAUGUAUAGCAGAAAACGUGUUGUCCCACGCUGUCCAGAGGCAUAACUACAAACAACGGGGCCCUGGUGCAAAAAUUGCCCUGGACCCCCACAUUGGUAUACACCCCUAUACAUCUACUUCUCUCCCCCCAUACGUCCACCACCCUUUCCACACAAACAUGCAGACAAACAGAUACACAUGCAGACACACACAUAGACACACGUAUAC